rnacentral:rRNA from 1 species
UACGGGGGGGGUAAGCGUUGUUCGGAAUUACUGGGCGUAAAGGGCUCGUAGGCGGCCAACUAAGUCAGACGUGAAAUCCCUCAGCUUAACUGGGGAACUGCGUCUGAUACUGGAUGGCUUGGAUUCGGGAGAGGAAUGCGGAAUUCCUGGUGUAGCGGUGAAAUGCGCAGAUAUCAGGAGGAACACCAAUUGCGAAGGCAGCUCGCUGGGACGUUACUGACGCUGAGACGCGAAAGCGUGGGGAGCAAACAGG